AAUAGCAGUUGCUAGUUGUGUUAUCAGUCAGUAGCUGUCUGCAGAGGAAUGGACUAGCUUGUUUUCUUUGUGCUCAAUAAGCUAUCCUGGAAUUGGAAUUGUCUUUGUGUACUUCCAAUAGGUUAUGGGCCCAGGAACGGUUCAUCUGUGAGUGUGCCCUACAGGAGGAUCGGCCGCAUAAGCCGUGUAACGCCGCACGGGAUCCGUAGGAGGAGCUGCUGAUUGGUCAGAGCAUGUACAAGCAUCGGAGUCGGGCCAUUUGUACAGGGCUCGAGUUGAGGAGGAGCUUCGUGAUCCGUUAGGAGGUAGAACCUGAACUUCGUGCUGGAUAAGUAGAAGGAGCUUCGUGAUCUUCGGAAGGUAGAACCUGGACGACCUUUGUGAUGGACGAGAUGGUAGAACCUGGAAGAGCUUUGUGGACCUGGACGAGGAGUUCGGCGACAGGAGGAGCAAUCCGGAUGACGACACUAAGGAGGAAUGUUGAGAUUGUAGUGUCGCACCCGUAGGCAGAAUAUACGGGAAUCGUCGGUGGUAGUAUUUAGAGGUAUGUUAUGCUGUGCUUAGUGGAAAUGAAUUGUAGAUACCUGGAUGAAAUAAAAGGAACAGCAGUUGCUAGUUGAGUUAUCAGUCAGUAGCUGUCUGCAGA